rnacentral:rRNA from 1 species
CCGACGGUGAGGGGUGAAGGCUGGGGGCGCAAACCGGAUUAGAUACCCGGGUAGUCCCAGCAGUAAACGAUGCCAGCUAUGUGUUGCUGGAACCAUGGGUUCCAGCAGUGCCGAAGGGAAGCCGUGAAGCUGGCCACCUGGGAAGUACGGUCGCAAGGCUGAAACUUAAAGGAAUUGGCGGGGGAGUACCACAACCGGUGGAGCCUGCGGUUUAAUUGGAUACAACGCCGGGAAUCUUACCGGAGGGGACAGCAGUAUGAAGGCCAGGCUAAAGACCUUGCCAGAUCAGCUGAGAGGAGGUGCAUGGCCGUCGCCAGUUCGUACCGUGAGGCAUCCUGUUUAGUCAGGCAACGAUCGAGACCCGCAGUCUUAUUUGCCAGCAUGCCCUUUGGGGUGUAUGGGUACAAUAAGACGACCGCCAGCGCUAAGCUGGAGGAAGGAGCGGGCUACGGUAGGUCAGCAUGCCCCGAAUCCUCCGGGAUACACGCGGGCUACAAUGGUCAGGACAAAAGGUACCGACCUCGAAAGAGUGAGGUAAUCCACAAACCUGAUCUCAGUCCGGAUCGAAGGCUGCAACUCGCCUUCGUGAAGAUGGAAUCGUACGUAAUCGUGACUCAAGCUGUCACGGUGAAUAU